AGUGAACGCUGGCGGCGUGCCUAAUACAUGCAAGUCGAACGGAGUGGCGCACGGGUGUGUAAUAUAUAUCUAAUCCGCCCCUUGCUGGAGGACAACCGUUUGAAAUGACUGCUAAUACCCCAUAGCCAGGGAUGGGACUCUAUCGUAUCAUCUAGUCGGUGGGGUAACGGCCUACCGAGGCGAUGACGCGUAACUGUUCUGAGAGGACGAUCAGGAGCAUUGGAAGUGAGACACCGUCCAAAAUCCUACGGGAAGCAGCAGGAGGGAGUAUUGCGCAAGGGGGGAGACCCAGAAGGAGCAACGCCGCGUGGAGGAUGACACGUUGCGGGGCGUAAACUCAUUUUGUUAGGGAAGCGGUACCUAACGAAGAAGCACCGGCUAACUCCGUGCCAGCAGCCGCGGUAAUUC
rnacentral:rRNA from 1 species